rnacentral:SRP_RNA from 1 species
GCCGAGCUCAGCAACGUGAGCUUGUAACCCGAGUGGGGGCUUUGAGGUGCUGGAACAUUGUCCCAGUAUUAGCUGGUCGGGUUCGGGUUGGCUAUCUUCUGGCUCGCCCAUUCCAAGCCAGGAGUUGAACCCUGUGGCAUGAGCGAAGGCCCUGGGUCACUGGGUUUCUAGAGUGGAGGGCACUGCGUAAGGCUGGCUUCACAGAGCAACGACUACCUCUCGCUCUUGGCAGUGGAAGGAUAACGGGUCGGUGCCAAUCGGAUCCGCCAUGGCCUGCUAGGCUGUCCCAAUUGAACCAAAACCUUUU